AAUAACACUUGACCUACCUAUAGCAAAAGAAAAAUGUAGUACACAUUUAUUUCUACUGAAAAUUACAUAUAGAAAAUAAAAUUCCACACAACAUUUGGUGAUGCCGUCUUUAGUUGUACCAUUAGGUUCUUGACAUUACAAGCACUGUUAGGACAGAUAAUGUGUGGAUUUUUUUUUUUUUGAUAAUCGAGAAAUUUUCGAGGAUCAGUCAACAGACGAUUCGAAACUCGAUGAAUGAUAAUUUUUAUCACUCCAUAACAGUUUCUUUUUUCUUAGUCCACAGCAUCACUAGUGUGAAGCCCAUUAAUGACAUGAUCACAACUGAUAUAGCUGGUGGGACACUAACAAGGGGAUCUUGAAAAAACUUAUUGGCAAGAGCAAGGGCCAAAAGACUGCUCUGCAUGCCUGUUUCGUAUGACAGUGUUCUUUGUAGAGCUUUGACAUCGGGUGCUUUGUGGAAGGCUAGGCCGGAAAGAAAAUAGGCCAAGAUGAAAGCUGAUAAAUGAAAUGCAAUCACUAGGAACAAAACAGACAUUCCAGAAGGGGACAUGAGGGAAUCUAUGUUAAUAGCGAGUGGAGCUCCUACAGCGAGAGCAGUCACAAAAACUGACAGGGGAGGCAACAACGGCCGAAUGGCAUUUGAAAUCUGUGGGAGGCAUCUAUUCAGAAAGAGCCCACCAGCAACAGGUGCAACAACAAUCUGGAGUAUGUUGGAAAUCAUUCCCUUAACAUCCACAGGCAACUUUUUCCCAAUAAGCAAUAAAGUUAAUGUCGGGGUGAUAAAAGCAGCAGUAGCUGUAGAUAACGCUGUCAUCACUAUACUAAGAGGGGCCAUUUGUGGAUCGGUUAGAAAAGUAGCAUAAUUUGACAGCUGUGCUCCGCUAACACAAGAGGUCAACAUAAUCCCUGCAGCUAAGGAAGUUGGAAGACCCAAUACAGACAUUGCAACUGUGCCAAAAAGAUACCCGAGUAGUGGCUUCAAAGCAAAUUGACCGAUAUAACCAGCAAAAAUGGCAGCAGGUUUCUUGAAAGCUUCAAGAAAGUCCUUUUCACUUGAAUUGACUCCAACAGCGAACAUUAAAAAUCCUAAUGCAGGGGCAUAGUACCUGUUGGUAAACCAAGUAAAAGAAGGUGGAUAGAUAAGAGCCAAAAUUGUGCUAGCAAGAACCACAUGGGGCAGAAAAGAGUUUGCUCCCUUCAAAAUUGUCAAAAAGGCGUUCUCUUUUUGUUUCAAAUUCUCAAGUGAUUCAAAGUCAUUAGGCCCAAGUGGAUCUGAGAAACUUUCUGAGAUACAUCUAGUAACCAAUAGUCUUGGCAAUGUGGAUUGUAUAGCUGAUGGAAACCCCACCAAUCGUACCCCUGAGGAGUGGAAGCAUUUCUUGGUAAAAGAAACAACUGGGUGUUGAUGAAAACAAGGUAGAGAUUUGUGAAGUGAAGGAGAAUCAAGAAUCUUGAAGCCUUGAUGAUUCUGCUGAAAAAGAAGAAAUUUAAUACUCAUUUUUUAUUUAAAAAAAAAUUCAGUUUUUG
rnacentral:misc_RNA from 1 species